ACUCCUACGGGAGGCAGCAGUGAGGAAUUUUGCGCAAUGGGGGAAACCCUGACGCAGCAACGCCGCGUGAGUGAUGAAGGCUUUCGGGUCGUAAAGCUCUGUCAAGUGGGAAGAACCUGCAGUAUGCUAAUAUCAUAUUGCACUGACGGUACCACUGAAGGAAGCACCGGCUAACUCCGUGCCAGCAGCCGCGGUAAUACGGGGGGUGCAAGCGUUAUUCGGAAUCAUUGGGCGUAAAGGGCACGUAGGCGGCCUGGUAAGUCAGAUGUGAAAGCCCGGGGCUUAACCCCGGAAGUGCAUUUGAUACUGUCAGGCUUGAGUAUGGGAGAGGGAAGUGGAAUUCCUGGUGUAGAGGUGAAAUUCGUAGAUAUCAAGAGGAACACCGGUGGCGAAGGCGACUUCCUGGACCAAUACUGACGCUGAGGUGCGAAGGCGUGGGUAGCAAACAGGAUUAGAUACCCUGGUAGUCCACGCAGUAAACGUUGAUCACUAGGUGUAGCGGGUAUUGACCCCUGCUGUGCCGCAGUUAACGCAUUAAGUGAUCCGCCUGGGGAGUACGGUCGCAAGAUUAAAACUCAAAGGAAUUGACGG
rnacentral:rRNA from 1 species